GACGAACGCUGGCGGCGUGCUUAACACAUGCAAGUCGAACGGAAAGGCCCUGCCUUUGUGGGGUGCUCGAGUGGCGAACGGGUGAGUAACACGGGAGUAACCUGCCCUGGACUUGGGGAUAACUGCAGGAAACUGGGGCUAAUACCGGAGAGGAGCUCCUGCUGCAUGGUGGGGGUUGGAAAGUUUAGGCGGAUGGGGAUGGACGGGCGGCUUAUCAGCUUGUUGGUGGGGUAGUGGCUUACCAAGGGUUUGACGGGUAGCCGGCCUGGGAGGGUGACCGGCCACAUUGGGCCUGCGAUACGGAGCAGACUCCUACGGGAGACAGCAGUGGGGAAUAUUGCACAAUGGGGGGAAGCGUGAUGCAGAGACGCCGGGUGCGGGAUGACGGCCUUCGGGUUGUAAACCGCAUUAGCCUGAGACGAAGCGUGAGUGACGGUAAUGGGUAAAGAAGCACCGGCUAACUACGUG
rnacentral:rRNA from 1 species